AGCAGCCGCGGUAAUUCCAGCUCCAAUAGCGUAUAUUAAAGUUGCUGCAGUUAAAAAGCUCGUAGUUGAAUUUCGGGACCAUCAUGUCGGUCGUGCCUCGGUACGUACUGGUAUUGUUGGUUUCUCCCUUCUGACGAACCAUGAUGUCAUUUAUUUGGUGUUGUGGGGAAUCAGGACUGUUACUUUGAAAAAAUUAGAGUGUUUAAAGCAGGCUCACGCUUGAAUACAUUAGCAUGGAAUAAUGAAAUAGGACGUUUGAUUCUAUUUUGUUGGUUUCUAGGAUCGACGUAAUGAUUAAUAGGGAUAGUUGGGGGCAUUAGUAUUCAAUUGUCAGAGGUGAAAUUCUUGGAUUUAUUGAAGGCUAACUACUGCGAAAGCAUUUGCCGAGGAUGUUUUCAUUAAUCAAGAACGAAAGUUAGGGGAUCGAAGACGAUCAGAUACCGUCGUAGUCUUAACCAUAAACUAUGCCGACUAGGGACCGGAUGAUGUUAAUUUUUAAUGACUCAUUCGGCGCCUUAAC
rnacentral:rRNA from 1 species